CAAACACACUGACACAGACAAGAAAACAAUAAAAAUGAGUGAAGAAAAAUGGUUCAUGAGCGCUCAGGGCGUGAAAUAAGUGAGCAGCUUACAACAUUCUCGAUGAUGAAUAUUCUUCUUUCUUAUUUUCGAUCGCACUUGUAUUUGGACAGGUGGCGGUUGAUGACGUUGCGCCUCGACUUCUUUAAAAAAGAGAAAAGAGACGAGCAGAGAAAAUUAUUGGCGUUUACAUCAUCAUAAUUU
rnacentral:ribozyme from 13 species